rnacentral:tRNA from 1 species
CAAAAAGUAGCUUAAACAAAGCAUUCAGCUUACAAUUGAAAGAUGUUAACAAUAUUAACCUUUUUGA